UUUGUGGCUAAAUUUCUUGACCCUGGUUUUAUUAAAGAAGCUGGACUCCCACCUGUUGCAGAAGACGUCGAGUCAUGAAGCUACUAAAUGAAGGCUGAAUUGGUAGCUGUUUGCUCCUAAUAUAAGAUGCAGGAAUCUAUCACCAAUAGUGGGGUGAAAAUCUGAUGAAAGUUGCAAGAGAAACAAUGAAAAGGUCUGAGUUGUAUUCUUUUGGCCCCUCUGUUUCUUCGAUGCAUGCGGGAGAAAUUUUUUUAUUCUUGUCUUUAAUUGCUUGAAUGUUUCUUUACCAUUUUGGAGUUUCCUGUAGAGUUGGGAGUUAGAAAUUUGUAUUUUCUCAGGUAGUCAUGAAUCAUGAAGAACCAAAGCAGUUAUAAGCCAGGGGUUUUAUGAUCCCUUUCCGCCAUUUGCCCCUCUUGCUUCUCAGCUGUGUAUAAUGAUCAUUCAUGCUUUUGCUCAGGCUAUUAUAGAGUGCCUUGUUCUUG
rnacentral:misc_RNA from 1 species